rnacentral:misc_RNA from 1 species
AAGGUUUCCGUAGGUGAACCUGCGGAAGGAUCAUUAAAAAAUAUCACGCGUUUUAUGUGUGAUUUAAUAAUCAUCCUACCCUUUGUGAAUUUGUUUUGUAUUGAAAAUUUAUGUUGUCUAUCCCUGGUGGUUUUGGAAAAGUUGAAAAACUUUUUCGAAUCCCAGGGACUAGGCUUUCAUAGACUUUUUUUUAAAUUAAACUUUUGUAUUCAUUUGUCUAAAAUUUAUUUUUAAUAAUUUAAAAACAACUUUUGACAAUGGAUCUCUUGGUUCUCGCAACGAUGAAGAACGCAGCAAAAUGCGAUAAGUAAUGUGAAUUGCAGAAUACGUGAAUCAUCAAAUCUUCGAACGCAUAUUGCACUUUUUAGUUUACUAAAAAAGUAUGUCUGUUUGAGUAUCAGUAAAAUAUUCUCAUAAAAAAUAUUUUUGUUUUUUAUGGUUAUGAGUGUUUUACAACGAUAACAAGUUGUUUCACUUUAAAUUGAUUUUUUAAAAUAAGCCAAUUUGGUUUUAUUUCUAAAAUUGGAUAAAAUUUUCCCGUAAAAAGGAAUAAACUUUUCAGUUUUAAAAUAAAUCUUAAUUGACUUUUGUAAAAAGGAAAUUUAUUAAAAUAACUUGAUCUCAAAUCAGAUAAGAGUACCCGCUGAACUUAAGCGUAUCAAUAAGCGGAGGAAAAGAAACUAACAAGGAUUCCCUUAGUAACGGCGAGUGAAGCGGGAAGAGCUCAAAUUUGAAAUCUUCAAGGUUCUACCUUGACGAAUUGUAGUUUAUAGAGGUGUUUUCUGUUAGUGGAGUGGCAAAAGUUCUUUGGAAUAGGACAUCAUAGAGGGUGAGAAUCCCGUAUUUGGUCAUUCUUCUAGCGUUGUGAUACACUUUCAACGAGUCGGAUUGUUUGGGAAUGCAGUCCAAAAUGGGUGGUAAAUUUCAUCUAAAGCUAAAUAUUGGCGAGAGACCGAUAGCGAACAAGUACCGUGAGGGAAAGAUGAAAAGAACUUUGAAAGGAGAGUUAAACAGUACGUGAAAUUGUCAAAAGGGAAGCGUUUGACACCAGUGUUGUUUUUCCGAAAAUCAAUUACGAAUGUUUUGUUUUUGAGGAGUUAUGACUUCAUCGGCUUGCUCUCUCUUUACGAAACUUUCUUAAUGCACUUUUCGGUUAACAAGUCAACAUCAAUUUCUUUUGUUGUAAAAGGGUAUGAGGAGGUGGCUUUCUUUUCGGAGAAAGUGUUUAUAGCCCUGUGCCUCUGCAAUCGGAGAGAUUGAGGUCUGCAGCGUAGAUCCUUCGGGGUUAGAUACGUUUGUGCUAAGUUAUAGCUUUUCAUAGACAACUUGUUGACUAUGUUUAGUCUUGUAGCUUACUCGCUGACGCUAUUUUACCUACGCUUAGGAUGUUGACGAUCAGCUGAGCGCGGCGCACGCACUACAGAUCAACAUCCUAAGCGUAGGUAUUUACAAGGUUGCGGGAUGCAGUCAGGUCUCCGGCAGUAAUACUCACGGAAG